CAUAGCCUAACGGCUGAACCAGCAACUUGGAGGAAUGUAAAGCAUAAAAAUGCUAAUUAUAUAUAGUUAAUAUAAUUUCGGCUAUGUCGUAUAAAAUUCUAGAUAGUAUUUUGAUAAUGACAUCUUCUAUCUAUAAGUCUUGACCAAAACUCGUGCCAGCAGUCGCGGUAAAACGUGGAAGACAAGUGUUAUUCAUCUUAAAUGGGUUUAAAGGGUACCUAGACGGUUAAUCUAGCCGAAAAAGGUACAGAUUUACUAGAGUUUAAUAUGUAAGAAGGAUAGAAUUUUUGGUGUAGAGAUAAAAUGCUAAUAAACCAAAAGGACUGACAAAGGCGAAAGCAACCUUAGUAUAAAAAUACUUUAGUUUUUUUAUUAUUUUUAAUAAUAAAAUAUUACUAUGUGUAUUAAUCUUCGUAUAAACUGACGUUGAGGGACGAAGGCCUGGGUAGCGAUAAGGAUUAGAUACCCUGAUAGUCCAGGCAGAAAAUUAUGAAUGUCAUAAACUAGAAAUAUUUAGUUUAUAAAUGAAAGUGUAAGCAUUCCACCUUACGAGUAAUGCGGCAAGGCAGGAACUGAAAUCAUUAGACCGUUUCUGAAACCAGUAGUGAAGUAUGUUAUUUAAUUCGAUGACCCACGAAAAACCUUACCACAAUUUGAAUACUUUUACAAGUGCUGCACGGCUGUCUUCAGUUAAUGCCGUGAGGUUUGGUUUAUUCCUUUAAUUAACGUAAACCCUCACUCUAUUUAAUAUUAAAAAAUAUUGUUGUUUUUCUUAAAGAGGAAAAAUAAUAGGGAUUAAGACAAGUCAUCAUGGCCU
rnacentral:rRNA from 1 species